AUUGCGGCACUCCACCAUUCAGUAAUUACUCAAUACAUUCCACUGACACCGAGUGCCGUGUAGAUCGUGCGGGCCACGGACUCAGAUAUCAUGAUCGUAAUUUGGAUACAAUUUUAACCGACGAUACCGCUUGAUUAAGCAAUUAUUAAGUUGAACACUUUUCGCCGUGUGGUUAUUAAUAUCAUAAUAUCUAUGGCAAUUUCUCAUUUUGGCCAUUUUGCUACUUGUAAUAAAAUAGUUCUAUUAUUAUUAAUUUUUUCGUGUUCGUACUUUUGUAUCGUUGUUGAUUUUAAAUAAAUACUAAUAUUAAAUUUUUUUUUUAUGCAACUUUAAUUGCUUAUGAU